UUUCAAGUUUUUGAGGGCGCAUGGUGGAUGCCUUGGCAUCAGGGUCCGAUGAAGGACGUGGGAGCCUGCGAUAUUCCUCGGGGAGCCGGCAGCCAGGCUGUGAUCCGGGGGUUUCCGAAUGGGGUAACCUGGCACUCGUUGUGGGGUGUCGCCGCCGUCUGAAUGUAUAGGGCGGUUGGUGGGGACGCGGGGAAGUGAAACAUCUUAGUACCCGUAGGAUGAGAAAACAAUUGUGAUUCCCUGAGUAGUGGUGAGCGAAAGGGGAGGAGCCUAAACCGCGCGCGUGUUCAAGCCGGCGGGUGUUGCGUGUGCGGGGUUGUGGGGUUCUUCUGUGUUGGUUCCGCCGAGCCGACGGGGAGUGAUAAAGCGUUGGGGUAGUCGAAUGGUUUGGGAUGGCCGACCGUAGACGGUGAGAGUCCGGUAGGCGAAACCCUGGCGGUCUUCCUUGGGAGGGUUCCCGAGUAGCACGGAGCCCGUGUAAUUCCGUGUGAAUCUGCCACGACCACGUGGUAAGGCUAAAUAUUGCCCUGGUGACCGAUAGCGGACGAGUACCGUGAGGGAAAGGUGAAAAGUGCCCCGGUGAGGGGUUGUGAAAGAGUACCUGAAACCGUGUGCCUACAAGCCGUCAGAGCUCCCGCACCCCCUGGUUGGGGUGUGGUGUGAUGGCGUGCCUUUUGAAGAAUGAGCCUGCGAGUUGUGGUGUGUGGCGAGGUUAACCCGUGUGGGGGAGCCGUAGCGAAAGCGAGUCCGAACAGGGCGUGCCUGCCCGUUGGGUGGGGUGUAGUCGCAUGUUGCAGACCCGAAGCGGGGUGAUCUACCCAUGGGCAGGGUGAAGCGCCGGUAAGACGGUGUGGAGGCCCGAACCCACCAGGGUUGAAAACCUGGGGGAUGAUCUGUGGGUAGGGGUGAAAGGCCAAUCAAACUCCGUGAUAGCUGGUUCUCCCCGAAAUGCAUUUAGGUGCAGCGUCGUGUGUUUCUUUCCGGAGGUAGAGCUACUGGAUGGCCGAGGGGCCCGACAAGGUUACCGAAGUCAGCCAAACUCCGAAUGCCGGGAAGCGAAGCGCGGCAGUGAGACUGCGGGGGAUAAGCUUCGUAGUCGAGAGGGAAACAGCCCAGAUCGCCGGUUAAGGCCCCUAAGCGUGUGCUCAGUGGUAAAGGAUGUGGAGUCGCGAAGACAGCCAGGAGGUUGGCUUAGAAGCAGCCAUCCUUGAAAGAGUGCGUAAUAGCUCACUGGUCAAGUGAUUCCGCGCCGACAAUGUAGCGGGGCUCAAGCACACCGCCGAAACCGCGGCAC
rnacentral:rRNA from 1 species